AAUUUCGUCUACUUUGUUUCAGAGAGGUUCCUAGAGAAUCAGAGCCAACAUCAUAUUAUUUUCUUCACUCAUGUUUUAGCUGUGUCUGUCCACACAUCGAUGCUUCUCUGGUUGUAUUUACCGGACUUGGAUCCUGAGCAAAUGAAUGUUAUGCUUUCUGAUUUCUUGCGAAUGAGGAUUAAGCCGAUUCAACCAUGCAUCUGCAAGAUCUAUCUUGAUGUCUUGCUAUCAUUAAAGUCGACAAUACAAUCAGGAUGGUAUCCCAACAUCCGAAAUGAGGAUGCAGUUGACAGCGAAGGGGGAUUUUUGGAGUACCAUCCUACACAAUAUGGUGGAGGUACCAACUAAUAGUAACUCUAGUCAGAGAGUUGCUUUGAAGGAUCACUUGGAAAUCCUUCAAAAGAUGCUCAACCUUUUUGAGAGCCAAUAUCUUCCGUGUGCCAAUAAAAGAUCUUGAAUUUCUCUUCGAGAUAUAGAGAUUUGUGGUUAUUGAUUGUUGGACUUCUGGUAUACUCAUUAUAUGAAGAUGAGGAGGAGAAGGAAGACAUGGCACCAGGAGGAGUGAACAUCCCACAAUUUCUUGAUUUGUCAAGCAACAUUCAACGUCUAAGCAUAGACAUCUACCUCACCAUUCGGAAGGCGUUCCAAUCUAAUUUGCCUAGGAUUCAUGGACUAGGCUAUGUUGAUUGCCAUUUAAACAACCUGAAGAAGUUCCAAAUCCUCCACUCAGAUUCACUAGCUUCUGUCAUGGACAAACUUCAAUCAAUUCAGAAGGAAUUUGAGAGCUUGCAACCUUUUCUACAGGCUGUUGCAGAAGAGCGACACAAUGACCUCGACGAAAUUCAACAUUGUGCUACACAAUUGAUUGGCAAAGCACAUGAGGUAGAAUACAUAGUUGAUGCUUGUAUAAGGGAAGAAGCUCCUGUCUGGUGCCUCGAGCAUUGGAUCAUACAUAUCAUGGAGGAGAUUACUCUUAUCAGAGAAGAGGUAGCAGAGAUCCGUGAAAAGAAAAUGGAUUUGGUAGCAUUGAACACUGUCCCAGUUCAUACAUCAAAUUUGGCAAGGUCUCCAAUGAUGAAUGAAGAAAUUAUUGGUUUUGAGGAUGUCAUAGAAAAGUUAAGAGACCAACUAAUAAAAGGCAAGAAAGGGCGCGAUGUUAUGUCAGUUGUUGGUAUGCCAGGUCUAGGCAAGACAACUUUGGCCUACAGACUCUACUAUGACAAGUCAGUCGCUUCGCACUUUGAAAUUCGUGCACAGUGUUGUGUGUCUCAAGUAUAUUCACGUAAGGACUUGUUAAUAGCAAUUUUACGUGAUGCUAUCAGUGAGAACUUUGAGUGUAGAGAAAAACAAGCUGAUGAAUUAGCUGAUCUUCUUCGCAAAACUUUAUUUUCCAAAAGAUAUCUCAUCCUUGUUGAUGAUGUGUGGGAAACUAGUGUGUGGGAUGAUCUAAGAGGUUCUUUCCGUGAUUCCAAUAACGGAAGUAGAAUUAUUCUAACAACGCGGGAUCAUGAAGUUGCCAUGUACACUAAAAUUCGAAGUGAUCCCCUUCUGCUUCGUAUGUUUAACAGUGAUGAAAGUUGGGAGUUACUCCGAAAAAAAGUGUUUGGUGAAGAAAGUUGCUCUCCACUCCUAACAGAAAUUGGGCAACAAAUAGCAAAUAAGUGUGGUCAACUGCCUCUUUCAGUUGUUUUGGUGGCUGGUAUUCUGGCUGAGAUGGAGAAGAAAGUAGAAUGUUGGGAACAAUUGGCCAACAAUUUAGGUCCUCACAUUCACAAAGACUCAAGGACCGUUAUAGAACAAAGUUAUCAGAUUUUACCCUAUCGUUUGAGGCCUUGCUUUCUUUACUUUGGAGCACUUUUAGAGGAUAGUGUGAUUAGUGUUCCAAAGUUAACACAGUUGUGGAUCUCAGAAGGAUUCGUAAAAAGUUGUGAAGGCAAGAGAUUGGAGGAUAUAGCAGAAGGCUAUUUGGAAAAUCUUAUUGGAAGAAAUCUAGUGAUGGGAACCAAGAGGAGUUCUCGUGGUAAGAUCAAAGCAUGUCACAUUCAUGACCUAUUGCAUGAUUUCUGCAAGGAGAGAGCAAAGGACGAUAUGCGUCUCCUAUGGCAAAAAUGGUAAUAUACCAAUCAUUGCUACUCUUUUCACUUAUAUUGACAUUUAAUCAUAUAAUUUUACUAAUUUCUGUAUAUAUUUGCAGGGAUCAAAAUGCCAAUCCGUCUUCUCGCCUUUCUGGUCACAAGCAACUAGCUCAUCGCAUGUGCAUUUAUGGUGAAGGGUAUCGUGCUGGAGAUUGGAGCUCGUGCUUGUCACAUGUUGUCUCUAUAAUUUUGCAUAACAAUCGUCUUUCAGUUGGCCUCGACUCGCACAUUUUCCACAGCUUCAAGUUUCUAAAAGUGUUAGAUAUGGAGUUCACUAGAAUUAGUUCUUUCUCAUUUGAUCUAGUCUACCUCAGGUAUUUUGCUGCAGAAACGUCUCGCUUUUCAAACAAAGCCGGUUGUCGGGAACUUGAAACUCUGAAAUUCAAAUCUCUCAGUGAAAUGUCACUACCCAUUACACUCUGGGAGAUGGAUAAAUUGAGACAUGUGGAUAUUUCCGAUUGCAGCUUCACCAGUGAAAUUUCAAGAGAAUUGAUUGAGAACUCCAAAGACCUUCAUGAUCUGCAAACUCUAUCCACUCCGUGUUUUUCUUGUGCACAGGAAGCGGAAUUGAUUUUGAGAAAAACACCUAAUCUUCUGGAACUGAGAUGCAAAGUCAAGGGUGUUGAUUACUUUCAGCGCUAUGUAUUGAACUUUCCAGCACGGAUUGAAACGCUCAAGAUUCAUCUUAGCUACACACCUGACACUAAAACAAUCCCCUUCCGCAUCUCCGCGCCAACUCUCACAAACUUGACACUGAAGAACUUUUACCUAUAUCAUCAGCAUUUAUCAGAAAUUGGUUCACUUCAGAACCUUCAAGUGCUCAGUCUGAAAGGUAUUUCCUUUAAAACUUAUAAAUGGGAAGUGCGCAAUGACGAGUUCCCUCAGCUCAGAGUCUUGAAAUUACAUGCUGGAAAAGUUCACUUUGAAAAUUGGUCUGUCGCGGAUGAUGCCUUUCCUAACCUUGAACGCUUGGUUUUGAGGGAUUGCAAAUUUCUUAAGGAGAUCCCUUCUUGGUUUGGAGAAAUCUCUUCUCUGAAGUCCAUUGAGGUAAGGAAUUGCAAUAAAAAUGUUGACAAGUCAGCCAGUGAUAUCAGGGAAACACAAGUUGAAGAUUACCAGAAUUCCAAGUUCGAGGUCUUUAUCACCAGAGAGAAUAACAAGUCAGAUUCAGGUACGCAACUCAUAAAAUUUAACUAUGACCAUUCUAAAACUCUGUGAAUUCAUUUCUUCUGUUACUCUAACUUCCUUUUUUAAAGGUAAAAUUCUUGAAAUAGCACCAAGGUUUGAAAUACUAUUGUGCACCUCGACUAAUUCUAUAGGUACCUACUACCUCUAACCGCACAUGUACUAGAUAACUGAUGAUCAAAAGAAAUCAACUAGUGACUUCAGAAGAGACCCAUGAGGUCUCAAGUUCAAAUCCAGUAGAGGCAAAAACACUAUGCGAUGAUGGGGAGAGUUACCAGGUACCUAUGUUGGUGGGAGAAAGCAGGUACCCCUAGAAUUACUCAAAAGUGCGCACAAGCUAGCCCAAAUACCAUGGUUAAUUAUACCAAAAAAAAAAAAAUCAUUGUGCUCUUACUUUCUGUUUGGGUAUGUUAUUGUAGUAGUACAACAUUUUUGAGCAAUUAACUCAUUGGAACCUUUUCUUUUUUAACAGAUUAUGAAGACUAGAGUUGUAUCAGGAGCUGUUUAGAAGAUCAGUAUGUACUUUUUUUAGAAGCUUAAUUAAGAAAUCAUGUACUUUUGGUCUUGAAUGUAUUGAGUAACAUUGAAUCCAUGUUGGACUAUAGUUAUUAUAUGAGCUAUUUAUAAUAUUUCUAAAUUUCUUUUUCUUCUUACGUUAGUCCAUUUACACUCAUCUUUCAUGCUAUGGAGGAAGAACUUUGACGUAACCGGUAAAGUUGUUGUCAUGUAACUAGAAGGUCAUGUACGAGUUCGACAUGUGGAAAAUACCUCUCGCAGAGAGUUUAGUGCAUUAGGCUACCCUAAUUUUGUACUCGUUUUGUAUUCCUUCCAAUGCCUGCUACUCAAACCCUCUAUCCUAUCUCGGGGUCACGUCAAGUAGAUUCCACUUUAGAGAUAAGUUUUUUAUCUUAAUCGAUCAAAAUAGAUUAAGACCGUCAAAAGUUACUUAGUCUCAUUCGAGAAUUUAAUCUCCUUAGUGUGACAAAGAGCCCAUUCAAUAGCAUUUGUGCCAGCUUGAAAGGACGUACUACCAUGAUAUCUAAUGCUCUCUCAAUGUCAAUAGGGACUCAACAACUUUUGGUAAAAUAUAAUAAAAGUAACGUCGAUAAGGAUUCAACGACUUUUUGGUGAAAUAAAAUAUAUAAAAGUAAAGUAACUACUUCCUAAAAUUAUCCAAUUUGUAGACCACAAGUUACCUUUGUCUAUGAACCUUUUUUGUUAACUUUAAUGAGUAAUUCAUUUGUUUAUUUCCCUCUUGUUAUUAAAGCUAAAGAAGUCUGGCAAUAAUUUAUACAACAUUUGGUAUGGUAGAAAAAAAAGUUAUUUAUAUAUAAAAUUAAUACAAGAUUUGGUUGACAAUUUAGUAACCCACAAUCCACAUAACUAAUAUUAUGAGUGAACCUAUAUAUUAUUUUAUGCAUGAUAGAAGGUGGAAUAACUAAUACAUGAAAAACUAAUUCCAUAUAAAAUAAUGGCUUAAGUCAUCAGUGGCCCCUUAAAGUUGUCCGCAUAAUUCACUUAGACACCUCAUCUAAGGCUUGUAUCUAUUGAACACCUCUACCAUUCUGAAUUUGAACCAUUUGAACAUUUUUUUGAGAAUAAGCCAAAAGUAGAAAAUGUGUGAAAUACACUCGCGCUGACAUGUCAAUUUGACUAAUUAUAUACUGACAUGUGUAAUUUUUUAAUCCAAAAAAUUAUUUAAACAUUAUAUUAAAAGUAAAAAAAAAAGGAAAUUAUUUUAAAGUUAAAAAAAAAUGAAAAAAAACUUGAACUUAAACCACCCCACUUCCCCUGCUAUCCACUGAAGCCCAACUCACAUUUCCCUCUACAAUACCACCCCGUUAAUGGCGACCCUCCCUCUCCCUGUACAGUGCCAUCUCCAACACGACAAAUCUUCUUUUCCAUUAGCCUAUUUUUCAAUUAUAACUUUCUUCUUCGUCUCGUUUUAGGUAGAGAAAGAUGGGGAAAAAAAUCUCGCCGGAAAAUUAAUAAGUUCCGAUUGUCAUUGUCGGAAAAAAUGGAGUUAUUUCGAUUUUUUUGUGUUUCAUAAGAACAUCCUUACAUUCUGCCAAUAUACAUCAAUUUAAAGUCAAAACAACACAUUCAGGACAAAUCAAAAAACUUCAAUAAAAAUUUGACCAAAGCAAAUAAUAAAUAAAAAUUUAACACCAAAUUACUAAAUUAACAGCAAAGAGACAGACCCAAAACUUAAAGCACUUUACAAAUUAAACAUGAUGAAAAUGACGGUGAUAAUGGUGGAAUGGUGGUCAGCCAAUCCUAAUAUGGAGGACAACGGAGGAAGGGAUGCCAAAGAAGAUGAAGAAGAAAUAAUAUUUUUUUUCCAAAAAAAAAACGCUCAAUUUAAAACCUUUCACGCGCCUAAAGGGUGUGAAUCACAAACAAUGUGCCACCUAGGCAAAAAAUGUUCAAAUGGAUCAAAUUCAGAAUGGUAGAGGUGUUCAAUAGGUACAAACCUUAGUUGAGGUGUCUAAGUGAAUUAUGCAGACAACUUUAAGGGGCCUCAGAUGACUUAAGUCUAAAAUAAUACAUUGGUUCACUCAUAACUAAUUAAUACAUUACUAAUAUGUACAUAACUCUAACCAGCUACCAAACGAUAAUUGUGUGAGGUAAAUUUGGUUAGUUUUAAUUGACUAUUGAGAUGCCCAUCACAUGUUUGAUAAAAUGCCUGAAAGAGAUUGAAAGCAUGUGUGUGUGUGUCCAUUUGCAUCCCCUUAAUUAAUAUUCAUGUGAUCAAGGGUGUUUGAAAAUUGAAACUGCAGUAUAUAUCUCUAAGAAGUUGUUUUUGAUCGAUAUUCAUAGUAUUAUCUUCUAUAUGCAUAGUAUAAUAUUUCGACAAAGGGUGUUCGAGUGACCACCCUUAGGUCAAUGUAGCUAUGCGAAAAGCAAUAGAUCCCAUGAAUGCUAGAACAUUUGGAAGUUUUAUCAUCCUUAGUAGCUGAAAUCCAUACUGUAUCACUCGUCGAAGCCAGAGAUUGAUCUAAGUAUUCAUUUUUUGAGUGAUUCUAUACUCUUAAUUGUUUAGUUCCUUAUAUUGUGCUCCUUGCAAGUUGAACUAUAAUUAUAUAUAUGAACUGUCUUUAGUAUUUCUAGGCUUUUAUUUUCUUCUUUUAAUAGAUACUCUUCGAUUUGUGAACUAUAAACAUAUUGCAGCACUUUUAUUUACCGUUUUCUUGUGUGAUUAUUCAGAUCUAAUGAUUGUUUGAGCUUCUCUAAUCAGUUUUUUUUCCCUCCGUAGGAGCUCCCACUUUCUUUGCUCCCUUGGUGACUCGAACUCACAACGUUACUAUGGGAAGUGAGGGGUGUUUACCAUCCGAGCAACUCCCUCUUAUCAGUUACAUAUUAAGAAAAGGCUUAAUAGUUCGGGAUCCCCUGAACUUGACACCUUUUGUUCGGUGUACACCUGAACUAUUCUAAAUGGCCUAGUCUCAGCAAGUAGUUCUCUUUAUAGUCAGUCAAAACACUUCCAAGAAUAAAACUCUGUUACUUCCUAGAUUAUAAGUCUAGCUAUCUGAAUAGGGCCCAAGCUGGUUCAUACUUCUUAUCUUAAUAAUAAAGGUGAGUCAUCCUAGGAUUAGCAGUCAGAGAGAGAAUGCUGAGUUCACACGGGACACUAGCUGUUAAUUAAUCGGCUCAACUAAUUAAUCAUGUCAUCAAGUUGCUUUUAGUGUAUAAUAAUGAAUUGUUUAUCUUAUAAUGUGGGCAAUAAUGGAGUAGCAUAUUAAGAUAUAUUAUGCUUUUGUGACUUGAACAAACUUGCCAAUUCAAAAUUGAUUUUUAAGCUUAUGUCAGUGGCCCUACACUUGAGAAACUAGUGUGUUGUACAGUUGAUAAAAUGUUACUUAGCAUGUAAUGUCGUAGUAUCAAACAUCUGAGUUCAAAAUUCAUCACAGAUUCUUUUAGUCACCUACUUUUGAGAGAAGAUGUCUUGGGAACGAAUUCAACAACUUUCCGAUAUGUUAAACUUCCCUAAAACUUCAAUAGAUAGUGUCAUGCUCUUUACACUGGAACGCAAAUUCUGUGAUAUUUUCAUUAGCUUGCAGAGUUUCACAGAUGAACCUAACAUGCUGGAUGUCACUCGGAAAAUCCAAACUCUAUUUCAAGAUGCUGUAUUUGACCUUUCUCCACUGUACCUAACUGAGUACUUUGAUCUCUAUGCCUCUGAGGUUCAAAGCAAGAUUUUAUUGACCAAGAGGGAAAUUAGAGCCAAAUACUCCUUUCCUAAAAUAUCAUUACAACUUCCAGCCAAGUUUGUUAAGGAUAUCAUCCCUUCUGUGCUAGAGAAUAUUGGUGGUCUAGUGAAGAUUCAUGAUCCAUAUUCACCUCUUUAUAUUCCCGAAACAGUAUUGGAACAUAUAGAAGAUGUUUCAAAGGAAUUGAAAUUGCUGCUAAAUUUUGUCUGCUUUGCAGCAGAGAAGUUCAUAGAGCCUCAGAGCCAACAUCAUGUUAAUUUCCUCACUCAUGUUUUAGCUGUGUCCGGCCACAUAUCAACGCUUAUCUGGAUGUAUUUACCAGACUUGGCUCCAGAGCAAAUGAAUGUUAUGCUUUCUGAUUUCUUGCGAAUGAGGAUUAAGCCAAUUCAACCAUGCAUCUGCAAGAUCUAUGUUGAUGUCUUGCUAUCAUUAAAGUCGACAAUACAAUCAGGAUGGUGUACCAACAUCGGAAGUGAGGAUGUAAUUGACAGUGAAGGCAGGUUUUUGGAGACCAUCGUACACAAUUUGGUGGAGGUGCCAACUAAUAGUAACUCUAGUCAGAGAGUUGCUUUGAAGGAUCACUUGGAAAUCCUUCAAAAGAUGCUCAACCUUUUGAGAGCCAAGUUCUUGAUUUGUCACCGAGAGGAGUGAACAUCACACAAGUUCUUGAUUUGUUAAGCAACAUUCAACGUCUAAGCAUAGACAUCUACCUCACCAUUCGGAAGGCGUUCCAAUCUAAUUUGCCUAGGAUUCAUGGACUAGGCUAUGUUGAUUGCCUUUUAAACAACCUGAAGAAGUUCCAAAUCCUCCAGUCAGAUUCACUAGCUUCUGUCAUGGACAAACUUCAAUUACUUCAGAAGGAAUUUGAGAACUUGCAACCUUUUCUACAGGUUGUUGCAGAAGAGCGAAACAAUGACCUCGACGAAAUUCAACGUUGUGCUACACAAUUGAUUGGCAAAGCACAUGAGGUAGAAUACAUAGUUGAUGCUUGUAUAAGCAAAAAAGCUCCUGAACUCCCAUCUUGUUGGUGAGACUUUGAUUCCCCACAUCGUGAUUCUUCCUCAUUUCCCCUUCCCCUACGAAUUUUUUUUAAAAAUAAAAUAAAAAUUUAAACUAACAAUACAGUACAAUAUAAUUGAUAUCAACCAUCCAAACAAGGUGCAACGGGUUGUCUGGUAGCUGUAUGAGAAACAAAUUAUCCAUAUGUUAAUUUUCGUAUAAUUUAUAUGAUGUUUCAUAGGUAGAUAAAUUAUAACUUCGUAUAAUUUAAAGACUAACUUUUGACUCAUAAGUUAAAAAUUAUAACUUGUGAUUUUUUUAACAUUUUACCUUAAAAUCAAUUGCUUAUAAGUACUUUAAUAGUUUACCUAAAUUAACACUUCAAAAGUCGUUAGAUAAAGUGUAUAAGAACAAUGCUAAAUAAAAUGUAUUAGUAAUGCUUGCAUCAAUUAUACAUAGAUUAUUUUCAUGCAUUAAAAAUUUACAAAGAUAUGUUUCACUAUUAUGGUGGAAAAGAUGUAAAAAAAAAAGAAAGAUUUUGAGGGGGCAAUUGAGUGAUUAAUCAUGCUAAUGCAUGCAUUAAAACGAUUGCAUUGCGAAUAUUUAGAAAUUCAUGGUAUUAGCAAUACACAGCUAUACAUAGAUUAGAAAAGAGUAGCAAACAAAGUAGUAGUAAUAGACAAGGGUAAUGCAUGCAUUAUUUUCUAAAUAACGACAACUAAAGGAGAGAAUGGAUAAUAAGUAGCAAGCAGAGCUCAUAGCAUAGAGUCUAUUCUGGUAGGCAAUCUUGUGAAGAAAUUGAGUGGAGCAGAUGGUAGGUUGUGAUGGAACCAUGGAUGUCUUAACACAUAAAAUCCAGUGACAAGAAUCACAACUCGAAAACCCAUGAAAUAGAGAACAAUGACAGCAAUCAAGCAGGAAAUAACAAACAGUUUGGUCACUCUAGGGUCUCUCCAUGACAGCAAAGAGUGCAGCCUCUCCCCUUGAUUAGCCAUGUCACCAACCACAUUCUGAAAACUUCCAGCAAUACUUUUCAAACGCUCAUACCUUAUCCGAACAAUAUCAGUUGGACGUGAAGUAGGGAAAGUAUCAAACUCCUCGUCCAGUUCAUCAGGAUGAGCAUCAUCAGCACAAGAAAGACGAAUGUCCAUGAAGGGAGGACGCCUAGGCCUAUAUCUAUAGUUCCAAACUACGAUUAAGGAGAGCGAGAGGAAGAUGGUAGGCAGAAUAAGCUCCGGAUAUAGAACUAGUAUCAAGAACAAGACAUGGAUCACAAGAGUCGUAAUGGGAUUUUUCCAAUUGCAAAUUUGAUCAAACCAUUUCCAAAUAGCAAUUAAUCCACCUAAAACAUCCAUAAUUCUUAAAAAGUUGGCUCUGAUUUUCCUCAUACUCCACAUGUCAGACUUGACAUCUAACAUAUACUCCACUAUCUCUUUCCUCAAAGGUGGCUCAGCACGACUCAACCACAUAGAGACCAUCUGACUAGCCUGAUGCCUCAAGUUGUCCAGCUUAAUUAGUUUCUCAAACUGAUUACCUUCAACAAUUAGUGGAUGAAUAUGGUGCAUUUUGGGUAACAGAGGCUGAGAGAACAAAUGCAUCAUAUUCAUUAAUGAUGAGCAAUUAAACCUAACUGCCAAGUGAAUUUCACCCAUCUUCUUUACCCCAGUAGGAUGCAACACCAGUAGCGGAUAAGAAUAUGUGUAGACACGAUCUGUCUCGAGAGCUGAAAGACGGAUCCUGACCUUUCCAAUCCUCGAGUCCCUAGCCUGGCCUCCAGGUUUAUCUCCUCCAUGUAGAUGACAAUUAUCAAAUACACCAAUGGUUAUGACAGUGCAGGGAUCAAAUACUUCCCAAGUGUAUUGCUCGUUCCACUUGGGAGCAAGACUAUCUAUAAUUGUCCUUGUUUGGACCCACUUGUGCCCAUAUUUGGCAACACAAUAGGCAUCUGUCGAAGCCCUCCCAUCCUUUGUUUUCAUCGGCGGUAGUCCCUGAGCAUUCAGAAUACCCAAUUCAAGGACACCAAUGCUGGAUUUCUGCAACUGUUUUGCAGUUGGUCUAAGAUCACCACUACUGUAGUCUAUUGGUUCAUCCAGAACAUGGUACCCUCCUUCUAAAUAUAACCUCAUCUGAAUCCUGCUUGCAAAGCUUGUUUCCUUCUCCUUUUCUCCCUCAACAAUAGCAUGCUUUUCAAGAUUAUACCACUUGCUGUACAUAGGUCUGUGGUUCAACCUCCUCUCAAUGUACUGCAAAUGAAUAAGACAUUUUCCAAGUAUUACAUCUUUGUUUGGUGCAACUCUAUCUUCCACGCUCAAAAUCAAUGGCUCCUCAAAUGGUUCUGCUGCUACAAAAAUCAAAUCCUCAUUCCAAAUGGGAUUAAUAGUCUUGCUCCUGGAAACUUUGGUUAUCAAUUCCUGAUUUCCAAGGAUGGCCUUCACGUAAACUUCUGGAAACCUACUUCUGUCAGCGGAAAUUAAGUCCUGAGCCUCAAUCACAUUAACUCUAAGGUACCACAGCUUUGGUGAGAAGUAAAUCUUUGACCUUAUAUUCACAAGAGAAUCAGCACCACUGACAGUGGCUGCAUCCGAAUGCCAAGAUUCUGCAAAGGCUUCAUCAGCUUGAGUACCCAUCCAAACAGCCAUCAUCAACUCUCCUUUAACUUUGCUACCACUUCCGUCCUCCAACCUAUACCACUGCGGAGCAAGAGGACUAUCUGGGGGGACCCUUUUAGGGAUCUCAUUCAAAUCAAACAUAACACGACCAACAGAAUCAUCCUUAUCUUUCACGUUCACCUCAAGAACGGAAACCUGAAUCUGAUCCAUUGAAAAUGCAAACACCUGAUUCCAUUCAGGAUUCGUUUUCUUCACAAAAUGACGAGUUGUACCACUAUAGUUUCCCAGCCUAACCUCAACAUAAGGAUCAAGAUCCUUCCCAGGUAAAUCUUUCGCUUUCACCACCCGGACAUAAAGAUACUGCAUUUGCUCAACCAAAUCAUAGGUCCUAGUAAACAUAUCACCAGUAACCUUCCCUCCAUCAAGGUGGGCUGAAAAAUCUUCUUGAGGUGGUCUCUGCAUUUUUAAACCUUUCUACUUCUCCACCACAAUUUAGCCAAAUGUCCAACAGAUAACAAAACAAAUCCUAAAUAAUAUCUCUGAGGAACAACUCAAAACUACACUAAUACUCAAGAAACUUCAUAUACAACACAAUCCAAGUUUGUUUUAUCCUAAUUCUAACUUAAGGUUUAAAAAGAACCUCAUGAAGGAUAACCCCAAACUGCCAAAAUCAUUCACAAUCUCAGAUCUGGUUCAGCUGAAUGCUUCACCCUGCAAAACAUUUUUUAAGCUUAAAAAACCAUAUUUAUACAAAUAAGAUAUAGCAAGUACAAUGAAUAAAGUUUAUCAACAAACUCAGAGGUGGUCAGGUGAACACCCUUCACUGAAAUAUUAUAUCGUGUAUAUAAGUAUAAAUGGUUAAAUAUCACACUUUGCACACAGUUUUGGGCUAAAAUCAUCCUUGAAGUAUAACCCAAACUUAGUAUACAUCCUUAUACUAUAAUUAUGAACAAAAACAUCUUUUAACUAUACCAAACUUGACAACAAGCAUCCUUCUGUUAAUUUUUGUUAAAAAACUAAGAGCUGAAAUUAAAAAAUGUGUCAUUGACAAUACUAAGUUGCCUUGCCUUCAAGUUGGAAAUACACAACAACAAAAAUAUACUUAGGGCCUGUUUGGAAGGACACCCUGGUAAUUAGAGUCGAUGAAAGCUUGAAAUGUAAAAAUGAUUUCAUUUUAAGUUGAAUUUUCUCCUACUCCCUCCUUUUAUUUUUCUGCUAUUUUGUUCACUUCAUAUCAAAUUAAACAAAAAUAUUACACAAUUUGAUUUUCAAAAUUUUGGUACGUUUAUUCAUAAAAAAAUAUUAAUAUUACGCAGUGUGAAUUUAAAAUUUUAGUGCACCCAUUCAUCAAAAAAAAAAAAUUGCUUAUGUAAUUUUUGAACAUGCUUCAUGAAAUUUCUGACUGUCCACUUAGUCAACUCAAUCAAAAAAUACCCUUCUCCCAUACCAUAAAAAGAGGGAAAAAAUAAUUAAAACUUUCUAAUGUCAAGAUUAUAGCUCAACAAAUACCAAGAACGUAAAAAAAAAAAUAGAUUUUUCAAGAAGAUAUUUAUAAGUAACUUAUAAAUUCGAAACUAAAAAUUAUAAAUCGGUAACACUUAACUUUUGACCCUUUAUUUGGGGUUUAUUUUCAGCCUUAAACUUUUUGCGUUUACAAAUACUUUUAAAACUUAAAAAAAAAAAAAAGAAGCUAAAAAUCACUUAAAAUAAGCUAAUUUAAAUACACUUAUUUAAUUUUUUACAUGAAAUAAAUAAAUAUUAAAUAAGAGAAAUGAAUAUACCUUGAAGGGUUCAUGGGAGGUGAGUGAAAGAUGGUAUUUUUGCUGAUAAGUUUCUAAAGAUUGGAAUUUUGAGGAGAAAAAAACAAAAAGGUUUUGGUUGUUUUUUGGUAUCAAACUGAAGGAGAAUGGUUUAGAGAGGGAAAAAAAAUUAAGAGACAACGAAAAAUUAGUCUGACAUGGUGGGUGAGGGAUUAUUUUUAAUAAAAAAUGUGUUGGACUAGAAUAACUAAUAAAAAUAAGUUAUAAAUAAAAAUUAUGAGUGGUGAUGGCUGCAACUUGCAAUGGAAAAAUGGUGAUGGGAGCUUUCUGUCAAAGAAGAAGAAGAUAUAAAAUCUUUUCUUUUUUUGCUAAAAAAUUAUCCUUUUCACGGUCACACACUUUAUUACGUAGGUAUAAAUCUUAAUUGAGGUGUUUAAGUAAAAUAUGCGAACAUGACUAUCUAUGACCUAAGCCUUAAAUAAAAAAUUUGAAAAUUAUCUUCAUUUAUAUAAUAGUUUCAGAUCUAUACCAAUGCUCUAUCACGAAGUCUCCAUUUUUUCCAAUUCUCCUAACUGGCAGCGGCAAUCCGGUGGCAAAUCGAUGGUGGACUGGUAAUUUAUGAUUUCAUUUAUCUAUAAUUGAGAUGCGAAUUUUUUUUGAAUCAGUAUCCUACAUCUAAUUAAAGUGAUGAUUUGGAGUUGAAUAAUUAAAAUUUAAUUACAAACAAAUAAGACUACUAAACAUAAAAGCAGUAGUUCAUUUUUUCCUAACCUAACUUUAAAUAUAAGAAAAAUAGAAAAUCAUAAUUUUGGAUAUUCUAGAGUCUUUUAGUGAAAGAUAAAAAGUUGAAGCAUUUCUGAGUCUUAGCACUUUUAGUUAUGUGAUUAUAGAAAGAUUUUAAUUAUGAUGAGAUAGAUUUGAUAUGACGGGGAAAUUCUUCAAAUAAGAUAGGUAAAACGCUCUCUUCGAAAGAGAUAUAUACACUACAUCAAAAAUGAUAUUUAGCAACAGUUAGAUAAUGAUAAUAGUUUAAUUGCCACUAAAUAUAUAUAGUUUUAGUGGUAAUUAACACUCUUUGUAAAUGUAUCUAAAGCCUAUAGCGACAUUAGAUCUAAUAAUAAUUAACUAAUGUGAGUAAAAAUACUUGUUCAAAGGGAUUGGCAGUGCUUUUGUAAGCAUACUCAUAGAGAAGAGAGAAGGUAAGAUCGCGGCCGACUGGUUUGGGCAUCUGAAGCUCUGAAGCAGCCGCCGGGUUAUCAACAGCUUUUGACCUGUCUGCCUGGACAUAAAAAUACCUAAAAAAGAAGAAAGAAAAAGGAAAACGUUAUUGUAAAUGGCACGAGAAAUGGACUCACUCUACAAAUAAUUGUGUAGAUUUCAGUCCGUUAAAAGUAGUUGUUUUUGUUACAGUGAUACUUGUACUGCUUCUGCCUCUCAAGGACUUUAUGCAUUGAAUUCCUUUAUACCUUUAGUCUAACAACUAUCUGUUGGUUGCAAUCAGUAUGAAAGCAUCUGAGUUGCUCUCUCCUUCUUCCCCUUUGCAGAAGCAUCACAGAUUCUUUUAGUCACCAACUCACUGAGAGAAGAGAUGUCUUGGGAAAAUUCGCAACGACUGUUCAAUAUUGUAACCAUCCCUAAAAUUUCGAUAGACAAACUCCAGCUCUUCACACUGGAACGCGAAUUCCACAAAUUUUCAUUAGCUUCCAGAGAUUCACAGAUGAACCUAACAUGCUAGAUGUCACUCAGAAAGUCCAAACUCUGUUUGAAGAUGCUGCAUUUAUCCUUUCUCCACUGCACCUAACUGACAACUUUGAUGUCUGUGCCUCUGAGGUGCAAAACAAGAUUUUGUUAAUCAAAAAGGAAAUAAGAGCCAAAUACUCCUUUCCUAAAAUAUCAUUACAACUUUCAGCCAAGUUUGUUAGUGAUAUCAUCCAUUCUGUGCUAGAGAAUAUUGGUGGUCUAGUGAAGAUUCAUGAUCCGUAUUCACCUCUUUAUGUUCCCGAAACAGUAAAGGAACAUAUAGAAGAUGUUUCAAAGGAAUUGAAAUUGCUGAGAAAUUUCGUCUACUUUGUUUCACAGAGGUUCAUAGAGCAUCAAAGUUAUUCUUUUCAUCUUAUUUUCUUCACUCAUGUUUUAGCUGUGUCUGUCCACACAUCAAUGCUUCUCUGGUUGUAUGUACCGGACUUGGCUCCAGAGCAAAUGAAUGUUAUGCUUUCUGAUUUCUUGCGAAUGAGGAUUAAGCCGAUUCAACCAUGCAUCCGCAAGAUCUAUCUUGAUGUCUUGCUAUCUUUAAAGUCGACAAUACAAUCAGGAUGGUAUCCCAACAUCCGAAAUGAGGAUGCAGUUGUACAGCGAAGGGGGAUUUU
rnacentral:lncRNA from 1 species